rnacentral:misc_RNA from 1 species
AAGUCGUAACAAGGUUUUCCGUAGGUGAACCUGCGGAAGGAUCAUUAUUGAAACUUGAAUCGUAGCAUUGAGAACUGUUGCUGACCUGUUAAAGGGUAUGUGCACGUUCGACGUGUUUGCGCUUUCCUAUUCAAUCCAACCCUUGUUGCACCCUUUGUAGACUUGAUUAACUUUCAGCUCUCGAGCGGUUAGAAGGGUUGCUUUUCGAGCUCCCUUUGUCUAUCAAGUCUAUGUCUAUAUAAUCUCUUGUAUGUCUAGAAUGUCUUGUUUAUGGGACGCAAGUCCUUUAAAUCUUAUACAA